ACCCGCUGAACUUAAGCAUAUCAAUAAGCGGAGGAAAAGAAACCAACAGGGAUUGCCCUAGUAACGGCGAGUGAAGCGGCAACAGCUCAAAUUUGAAAUCUGGCUCUUUUAGAGUCCGAGUUGUAAUUUGCAGAGGGCGCUUUGGCUUUGGCAGCGGUCCAAGUUCCUUGGAACAGGACGUCACAGAGGGUGAGAAUCCCGUACGUGGUCGCUGGCUAUUGCCGUGUAAAGCCCCUUCGACGAGUCGAGUUGUUUGGGAACGCAGCUCUAAAUGGGAGGUACAUUUCUUCUAAAGCUAAAUAUUGGCCAGAGACCGAUAGCGCACAAGUAGAGUGAUCGAAAGAUGAAAAGCACUUUGGAAAGAGAGUCAAACAGCACGUGAAAUUGUUGAAAGGGAAGCGCUUGCAGCCAGACUUGCUUACAGUUGCUCAUCCGGGCUUUUGCCCGGUGCACUCUUCUGUAGGCAGGCCAGCAUCAGUUUGGGCGGUAGGAUAAAGGUCUCUGUCACGUACCUCUCUUCGGGGAGGCCUUAUAGGGGAGACGACAUACUACCAGCCUGGACUGAGGUCCGCGCAUCUGCUAGGAUGCUGGCGUAAUGGCUGU
rnacentral:rRNA from 1 species